rnacentral:rRNA from 1 species
CAAUAGCGUAUAUUAAAGUUGUUGCGGUAAAAAAGCUCGUAGUUGGAUUUCUACCGAAGAUAGCCGGUCGGGUCUUCGACCUUGUAUCUGGUUUUGUCUUUGGUAUCCUCAUAGGGAACGUUUCUGCGCUUUAUUGCGUGGUGCGGUAUCUAUGACUAUUACUUUGAGGAAAUUAGAGUGUUCACGGCAGGCAAACGCCUUGAAUAUAUUAGCAUGGAAUAAUAACAUAGGAUCUUCGUCCUAUUUUGUUGGUUUCUAGGGCUAGGAUAAUGAUUAAUAGGGAUAAUUGGGGGCAUCUGUAUCAACGCGUCAGAGGUGGAAUUCUUGGAUUGCGUUGCGACAAACUACUGCGAAAGCAUUUGCCAAGGAUGUUUUCAUUGA